GACGAACGCUGGCGGCGUGCUUAACACAUGCAAGUCGAACGGAAAGGCCCUGCUUUUGUGGGGUGCUCGAGUGGCGAACGGGUGAGUAACACGUGAGUAACCUGCCCUUGACUUUGGGAUAACUUCAGGAAACUGGGGCUAAUACCGGAUAGGAGCUCCUGCUGCAUGGUGGGGGUUGGAAAGUUUCGGCGGUUGGGGAUGGACUCGCGGCGUAUCAGCUUGUUGGUGGGGUAGUGGCUUACCAAGGCUUUGACGGGUAGCCGGCCUGAGAGGGUGACCGGCCACAUUGGGACUAAAAUACGGCCAAGACGCCUACGGGAGGCAGCAGUGCGGAACAUGGAACAAUGGGCGGACGCCUGAUGCAGCAACGCCGCGGGCGGGAUGACGGCCUUCGGGUUGUAAACUGCGUUCGCCUGUGAAGAAGAGUGAGUGACGGUAACGGGUAAAGAAGCACCGGCGAACUACGUG
rnacentral:rRNA from 1 species